rnacentral:rRNA from 1 species
CCUACGGGAGGCAGAAGUGGGGAAUAUUGCACAAUGGGCGCAAGUCUGAUGCAGCCAUGCCGCGUGUAUGAAGAAGGCCUUCGGGUUGUAAAGUACUUUCAGUCGUGAGGAAGGUGUUAAGGUUAAUAACCUUAGCAAUUGACGUUAGCGACAGAAGAAGCACCGGCUAACUCCGUGCCAGCAGCCGCGGUAAUACGGAGGGUGCGAGCGUUAAUCGGAAUUACUGGGCGUAAAGGGCACGUAGGCGGUUAAUGAGGUUGGUAGUGAAACCGCCGGGCUUAACCUGGGAAUGGCAUUAAAGACUGGCUCGCUCGAGUCUUGUAGAGGAGGGUAGAAUUCCACGUGUAGCGGUGAAAUUCGUAACGACUUGGAGGAAUACCGGUGCCGAAGGCGGCCCCCUCGACAAAUACUGACGCUCAUGUGCGAAAGCGUGGGGAGGAAACAGGAUUAGAUUCCCCUGUAGUC